GGGUUAAUGGCGCAGUUGGUAGCGCGCUCGCUUUGCAUGCGAGAGGUCAUCGGUUCGACUCCGGUUUAAUCCA
rfam:Lachancea nothofagi CBS 11611 genome assembly, chromosome: F